rnacentral:rRNA from 1 species
ACGAACGCUGGCGGCGCGCCUAACACAUGCAAGUCGAACGAGCGAGAGAGAGCUUGCUUUCUCGAGCGAGUGGCGAACGGGUGAGUAACGCGUGAGGAACCUGCCUCAAAGAGGGGGACAACAGUUGGAAACGACUGCUAAUACCGCAUAAGCCCACAGGUCGGCAUCGACCAGAGGGAAAAGGAGCAAUCCGCUUUGAGAUGGCCUCGCGUCCGAUUAGCUAGUUGGUGAGGUAACGGCCCACCAAGGCGACGAUCGGUAGCCGGACUGAGAGGUUGAACGGCCACAUUGGGACUGAGACACGACCCAGACUCCUACGGGAGGCAGCAGUGGGGAAUAUUGCACAAUGGGGGAAACCCUGAUGCAGCGACGCCGCGUGGAGGAAGAAGGUCUUCGGAUUGUAAACUCCUGUUGUUGAGGAAGAUAAUGACGGUACUCAACAAGGAAGUGACGGCUAACUACGUGCCAGCCGCCGCCGUAACAC